UACAUGGGGUGCAAACGUUGCUCGGAAUUAUUGGGCGUAAAGCGCACGUAGGCGGUUUGUUAAGUCGGAUGUGAAAUCCCUCGGCUCAACUGAGGAAGUGCAUCCGAAACUGGCAAGCUUGAGUACGAAAGAGGGUCGCGGAAUUCCCGGUGUAGAGGUGAAAUUCGUAGAUAUCGGGAGGAACACCGGUGGCGAAGGCGGCUGCCUGGACCUUUGCUGACGCUGAGGCGCGAAAGCGUGGGGAGCGAUCCGG
rnacentral:rRNA from 1 species